CAGCAGCCACGGUAAUACGAAGGGUGCAAGCGUUAAUCGGAAUUACUGGGCGUAAAGCGUGCGUAGGCGGUUUGUUAAGUCUGCUGUGAAAUCCCCGGGCUCAACCUGGGAAUGGCAGUGGAUACUGGCAAGCUAGAGUGUGUCAGAGGAUGGUGGAAUUCCCGGUGUAGCGGUGAAAUGCGUAGAGAUCGGGAGGAACAUCAGUGGCGAAGGCGGCCAUCUGGGACAACACUGACGCUGAGGCACGAAAGCGUGGGGAGCAAACAGGAUUAGAUACCCCCGUAGUCCCUGUCUCUUAUAC
rnacentral:rRNA from 1 species